CCUAUGGGAGGCAGCAGUGAGGAAUAUUGGUCAAUGGGCGGAAGCCUGAACCAGCCAAGUCGCGUGAGGGAAUAAGGCCCUACGGGUCGUAAACCUCUUUUGCCGGGGAGCAAGGGCGGGGACGUGUCCCGGCCCGGAGAGUACCCGGAGAAAAAGCAUCGGCUAACUCCGUGCCAGCAGCCGCGGUAAUACGGAGGAUGCGAGCGGUAUCCGGAAUGACUGGGCGUAAAGGGUGCGUAGGUGGUGUGACAAGUUAGUAGCGCAACUCCGGAGCUAAACUUCGGAACUACUACUAAAACUGUUGGACUUGAGUGCAGGAGGGGCAAUCGGAAUUCCUGGUGUAGCGGGGGAAUGCGUAGAUAUUAGGAGGAACACCAGUGGCGAAGGCGGAUUGCUAGACUGUAACUGACACUGAGGCACGAAAGCGUGGGGAGCAAACAGGAUUAGAUACCCCAGUAGUC
rnacentral:rRNA from 1 species